rnacentral:rRNA from 1 species
AUUGAACGCUGGCGGCAUGCUUUACACAUGCAAGUCGAACGGUAACAGGGUGCUUGCACCGCUGACGAGUGGCGAACGGGUGAGUAAUACAUCGGAAUGUACCCAGUAAUGGGGGAUAACGCUUCGCAAGGAGUGCUAAUAUCGCAUACGCCCUGAGGGGGAAAGUGGGGGACCGCAAGGCCUCACGUUAAUGGAGCAGACGAUGGCUGAUUAGAUAGUUGGUGAUGUAAAGGCUCACCAAGGCGACGAUCAGUAGCGGGUCUUAGAGGACGAUCCGCCACACUGGAACUGAGACACGGUCCAGACUCCUACGGGAGGCAGCAGUGGGGAAUAUUGGACAAUGGGCGAAAGCCUUAUCCAGCCAUGCCGCGUGUGUGAAGAAGGUCUUCGGAUUGUAAAGCACUUUAAGUUGGGAGGAAGGGUUGUAGAUUAAUACUCUGCAAUUUUGACGUUACCGACAGAAUAAGCACCGGCUAACUCUGUGCCAGCCGCCGCUGUAAUAC